rnacentral:sRNA from 1 species
CAUGGUCCCAGCAGCCACUCUAUGAUGGCAACUCUCUUUGAUUAUCAUACUAGAAAGUCUUGAGAUACUCAAAAUUAUAUACAAAAACAAAGCAAAGAUUCUCAUUGAUCUGCCACUUUUCACCCCAUCAUCUAGCAGGUCAUGUUACUGCCUAUACAAGGCGGAAAAAUCGAUUUUCAAUUCGUUAUUAGAUACUAGAGAAGAUGACAGUAUGUCAGGCUCGGGCGACCCAAACGCUU